rnacentral:rRNA from 1 species
AGUGAACGCCGGCGGUAGGCCUAACACAUGCAAGUCGAACGGCAGCACAGUAAGAGCUUGCUCUUACGGGUGGCGAGUGGCGGACGGGUGAGGAAUACAUCGGAAUCUACUUUUUCGUGGGGGAUAACGUAGGGAAACUUACGCUAAUACCGCAUACGACCUACGGGUGAAAGCAGGGGAUCUUCGGACCUUGCGCGAUUGAAUGAGCCGAUGUCGGAUUAGCUAGUUGGCGGGGUAAAGGCCCACCAAGGCGACGAUCCGUAGCUGGUCUGAGAGGAUGAUCAGCCACACUGGAACUGAGACACGGUCCAGACUCCUACGGGAGGCAGCAGUGGGGAAUAUUGGACAAUGGGCGCAAGCCUGAUCCAGCCAUACCGCGUGGGCGAAGAAGGCCUUCGGGUUGUAAAGCCCUUUUGUUGGGAAAGAAAAGCAGCAGGUUAAUACCCCGCUGUUCUGACGGUACCCAAAGAAUAAGCACCGGCUAACUUCGUG